rnacentral:tRNA from 1 species
GCUCAAUCGGUAGAGCGUGAGACUCUUAAUCUCAAGGUUGUGGGUUCGACCCCCAC